rnacentral:lncRNA from 1 species
AUUGGCCAAAAAGAACCUCAUGGCCGUGCACCACACUCCACCAAGUCCACUUCAAUUUUUACUCUUCAAGAAACCAUCCAAUUUGUUGUCUUUUUGUCCUCAUGUGCACCAUUUCUCAAAAGGAGUUAAAAUAUACUUAAAACAAUCCAUUUGAAACCAUGCCCUUACUCCUUUCAUGCAGCAAAUUCGGAUUCCAAUACCAAGGCACAAAUUUACGUGAGCAAAAAAAAAUUGGCUACCAAAAAGUGCUUCCAAACCAAAGGGUAAAUGAAUGUAACCAUGGGUGCUUCUACCAAUGUGCCAAGUAAGCUAAAUCAAAUGUAAACAAACUCCAAAAAC